AGCGAACGCUGGCGGCAGGCUUAACACAUGCAAGUCGAGCGCCCCGCAAGGGGAGCGGCAGACGGGAGAGUAACACGUGGGAACAUACCUUUUGGUUCGGAACAACUGAGGGAAACUUCAGCUAAUACCGGAUAAGCCCUUACGGGGAAAGAUUUAUCGCCGAAAGAUUGGCCCGCGUCUGAUUAGCUCGUUGGUGAGGUAACGGCUCACCAAGGCGACGAUCAGUAGCUGGUCUGAGAGGAUGAUCAGCCUCACUGGGACUGGGACACAGCCCAGACUCCUACGGGAGGCAGGAGUGGGGAAUAUUGGACAAUGGGGGCAACCCUGAUCCAGCCAUGCCGCGUGAGUGAUGAAGGCCUUAGGGUUGUAAAGCUCUUUUGCCCGGGAAGACAAUGACGGUACCGGGAGAAUAAGCCCCGGCUAACUUCGUG
rnacentral:rRNA from 1 species